GUUUGGAUGUAAACUGCCUCCCACCCUCAUAGAUUUUUUGCUUGAGGAUGCUCAAAAGGUUCUCAAUAAGAUUGAGGUCAGGGGAGGAUGGAGGCCACACCAUGACGUUCUCUCCUUUUAUCCCCAUAGCAACCAUUGAGAGGUAUUCUUUGCAGCAUGAGAUGGUGCAUUGAUGAUUUUAUUACGAAAGUAUAGUUCUUCCUUCUGUACCAGGGAAGAAAGUG